rnacentral:SRP_RNA from 1 species
CCAUGCAGCCGGGGUGGCAGCGGUACCCUGUACCUGCAAUCCGCUAUAGCAGGGGUGUUGGUCUGUGUCGGGUUUUAUCGUCGGUGCUGGCUGUGGUAAGUGGCGUUGACGUACGGGUCUUGCGCGAUGGAUACCUAUGAACCGUGUCAGGUCGGGAACGAAGCAGCACUAAGUAGGAGCAUUCAUGCGCCGCAAGGGUGCCUGGACUGAGUUAACUGCCAUGGUAACGGCCGGAGGUAGGGCACAAAGCAGACUGCAUGG